UACGUAGGGUGCGAGCGUUGUCCGGAAUUACUGGGCGUAAAGAGCUCGUAGGUGGUUUGUCGCGUUGUUCGUGAAAACUCACAGCUCAACUGUGGGCGUGCGGGCGAUACGGGCAGACUGGAGUACUGCAGGGGAGACUGGAAUUCCUGGUGUAGCGGUGAAAUGCGCAGAUAUCAGGAGGAAUACCGAUGGCGAAGGCAGGUCUCUGGGCUGACACUGACGCUCAUGCACGAAAGCGUGGGGAGCAAACAGG
rnacentral:rRNA from 1 species